CAAGUGAUCAGUACCAACAUUAGUUGUGCAUGGGGCAUGUUAGGUUCUUUUAGAAAAAAAAUUUGCAGAGUUAUGGGACUUUGUUUUUUUGUUACUAUGCUAUAUACAUAGACACAAUCUUGUGCACACCAUCUCUCCUCAUCCCCUUGACACAAUUUAAUGAAACUUCACACAAGUGAUCAGUAACAACAGUAGUUGUGCAUGGGGCAUGUUAGGUUCUUUCAGAAAAAAAAUUUGCAGAGUUAUGGGACUUUGUUUUUUUUUGUUACUAUACUAUAUACAUAGACACAAUCUUGUGCGCACCAUAUCUCCUCAUCCCCUUGACACAAUUUAAUGAAACUUCACACAAGUGAUCAGUACCAACCCUAGUUGUGCAUGGUGCAUGUUACAUUCUUUUAGAUAAAUAUUCUGCAUAGUUAUGGGACUUUGUUUUUUGUUACUAUACUGUAUACAUACAUUCUAUAUACAUACAGUCCACAUAAUUAUGCAAUCUUGUGUGCAUCAAAUUGCAAUGUACUGUGUCAGUGCAUGCGGGGGGUACAUUCAUCACCUUUAGUGAUAGCUCUAGUUUCAUUUUGCCAUUUCUUUUAUUAUGUAAUACUUAUCAGCAGUCUGUAAGUAAGAAAAUAAAGCCUGAUCCAGAUAUUUUUGGUAAAGUUUGGAAUAAAUAAGGCCCGAAAGAUUUAAUUAUUAUGAAUUAGCUAAAAACUAAGACCAAUAUAUUGCACAAGUGACUCAUUGCAUGUUACUAUUUAUAUUAUUAAACUGUUUAUGCAGUCAAAACUUGCAGCCAGAGACAUUUUCUGAAUCAUGGUAAGAGAGUGGAUGUAUAUAUACUCAUUUUCCAGACAAAAUAUCAUAAAAUUAGAUUUUGAAAACAUAACUGUUACAUCAUUUUUGAAUAGGGAUAAUUAAAGUGGAAUUAUGCACAUUUUUCAAGUAAAAAUCUAGCUGAAAUAGAUGUGUGUGUAAAAAGGGCAGAGGAAAUUAUAGCUUUUAACCCAAUAUACCAAACUCUUCCUGUUACCAGUACAAAAUAAUAACUUUCCAAAUAUGACUUUUCUUAUUUUGACUGGGGCAGCCUUUUUAAGAAAAGUCAAACUGUAUGCAGGAGUUGCUUCCCUUCAACUUCAGAAAUCUCUACCCAUAGGUAAGGGAGAUCACUGCGUAGAAGAUUGAAGAAAAGAACUAUUAUUUUAUUAGUCUGAUUUCUUUAUUUAUAAAGCAUCAACUUCAAAUACUUCUGCGGCAUUAUCGUUAAUUUAACAAAUUUAAAUGCAUAGCAACCGAAAAUUGCUUUUAUAAAAUAUUCACAAAAAACACACUAAGAUGCACAUAAUGCCACUUUAAUGGAGGGCAUGCUUACCUACCUAGUAGGGAAAGACAAGUUUAUCCAGGAAGGAGAUCACUUUAUCUUUUAUCCUAAGACAAGCUACACAUGUGCAUCUUGAUGUCAUAUUUUGAUUCAUAUCAUGACAUUGUACUAUAUGAACAAUUUUUAAGUUACAGUAUAUUUACACAUGUUGCAGAUCAGAAGGCAAGAAAAUUAAUCUAACAAGUCUGUCUGAGUAAGGCAGGUAUUUUCCCAAUCCGCGGGACAGCAUUGACAAAAAAAAGUAUUUUCUCAAUCCGUGGGACAGCAUUGACAAAAAAAACUAGCUAGAACCCUGUUUUCCAUUCAGUGCUGUCCCUCUGGUUUGGGGAAAACCCAGUCUUACACAGGCUGACAUGUAAGAUCUCUAUAAUCUUAUGAAAACAGCUAGUUUUACUGAUAGCUCAUGGAAUUUAAAGAUGUAAAAUCAUUUGGUUUUAUACAAGUCAUUAUCAUUUAAAAUAGGUAUGCUUUACAUUUUUACAUCAAUGUUUAUGCUUUACAGUUGGCGUUUGCAAUAUGACUUCUUCUCGGCGAUAUAUGACCAUUUUGUGUUGAUUUGUCGUAAAACCCAACUCACUCACUCACUAAUCUUGCAGAGAGAUGUAUAUCAUUAGAAUAUUUGUGCAAAUUUAAGACAUGGGUUUUGGACAUACGCAUUUUUUUUCUGUCACUAUGGUAACAUUUUGCUCAUUGAACAGUUAGUAUCAAAAUAACUCACUUACUGACAUUAUGUUGUAAAUUGCUCAUUUUUGGUCUGUUUGUUCCUUGAAUUGCUGUAUAGUGCAAGUCCAUGACAUAUAGAUGAGAACAUUUUUUACUUACAAACAAUACUUGUUUUAUGUGUGUUUGAUGGUUAAAAUAAGGUGUAAACUAAGUUAUAGUAAAUAGGUGAACAUUUAUUCUGUGAAAGCAUUUGUAUACAGCUAUUGCAUUCUGGGUAGCAGUGAUAUUGUGUUGAUUACACAUUACACAUUUUAUAUUGUGUUGAUUACACAUUACGCAUUUUAUGUUUAAGUUAAUAUGUUGAUAAGAAUCUGAUGUUUGCUGUAGAUAUUCUUUAAAAAACACUGCUUACAAAUGUAUCUUCAUGUUAUACUCUAUCAUAGUAUGUAAAGACAGAACCUUAGUAUUUUAAUAAACAUUUUAAAGGUAGGUAAAAGAUUAAUAAAUGGUAUUUUCUAAGAAAAUUUCUAAACUUGUGAGUACUCUUGGUACAGGUUAAAUGCCAAGAUUAAAUGCAAGAGAGAGGAUUGUUGAGAAAAUAAGUUAUUCUAUCCAUGCUACAGCUCAUGGUUCAGAUCAACAUGAAAAUCCACUCAUAUCUGUGAUAUACUGUGAAAAUAUUAAAUAUCGUGGGCAUGAAAUUUCGUGGUUUGGGCCAAAACGGUCAUUAAGUAUCGUGGGCAUGAAAUUUUGUGGUUCGGGCCAAAACGGUCAUCAAGUAUCAUGGGCAUGAAAUUUCGUGGUUUGGGCCAAAACGGUCAUUAAGUAUUGUGGGCAUGAAAUUUUGUGGUUUUGGUCAAAACGUUUAUUUCAUGGGGAUAUGAUUUCAUUGAUUUCAACUUUUGGAGAUAAAAUGAAUAUAAGAGUCUUACUUGUUCACUGUGAUGUAGUUUUAUGGAUCAACAGAAACGUGAAAUCCAUGAAAAUUAGUCCCCCCCUCCCCAUGAAUAUUAAUGAUUUUACAGUACUUGUUAUAGAAAUGUACCUUCCUACAGGGUGCUUGCAUUGUGAGGAUUGAUUAUAAAACUGUUGUAUAAAAUAUACAGUAGUUUUACAAUCAAUUCACAGUUGUAAUACAACUAGUAGUAUGAUGUAUGUUAAAGUUGCAAGGGUGAUUUUCAAAUCUACUAAAUAGGACUUCAUAGAUAGAAUCUUGUGUAUGUGUGUAACCUUUUUAGAGUGUCUGUUCAUUUUUGUUUUGAUAUUGGGUGUAUUUAUAACCAAAGAAUAAUUACCCACAGAGCUGACAGAUUUCUCAGUCAGCGUGCCCCAUUAUUGUAAUGAUAACAUGCAAUGGUGAUUCUUAUUGUAACAUAAUACUGAAACUUUUUUUUAUGUACAAUUUAGAAUCUCAUCUAUAGAAACAAAAUGAUUGAUAUUUUUAUCUACAUGUUUGAUGUAUCUUUAAUUCUGAGAGGUUACCUACACAUGUAAAUGUUUGUGAAUAAGAAAUGGAUAAAAUACUGUGCAUUGAAACCCCACACAUGUUCAAGUAUAGAUAGCUGUAGCUCAUGGGCACACUCAAGCUAUUGAUGCCAUCUCCAGCCAUUUUAUUUAUAUUUACUACAUUUGGAUUCCUUCAAACAGUGGAUAUUUUGUUCAUUUUCUUGCCACCUUUAGCAGUUAAUACAGAAUCUUUGAGGUAUUUUUACAAACAGAUGAAAUGAAAAUCAUUUUGAAAAUUCAUUCUUUUAUCUUGCAUAUUAACUCAAAGAAAACUUGUAUGUAUUACCAGAGUGGUAACACUAGCCUGUUGAUGAAGAAAUAUAUUUUAAAGAUAAAAUACUUGUAUCCAUUUUAAAACAGAAUAAGAUCUCACUACAUUAAAUAUUUUUUUACUAGAUAACCAAAUGAGACUUCAUUUCUUGAGAUGAAGCUUUAUUAACACUUAACUAAAUCAGCUUCGAGGCAUUAGAUACUGUGAAAUCAUUUAAUUUCGUGGGCAUGAAAUUUCGUGGUUUUGGUCAAAUCGACAAUUUCGUGGGGAUAUGAAUUUGUGGAUUUCAAUUUUUCAACAUAAAAUGAAUGGGAAUUUUACUUGUUGGUUGGGAUAAAAUUUCGUGGAUUGACUCAACCACGAAAUCCACGAAAAUUAGUCCCCCACGAAUAUUAAUGAUUUCACAGUAAAUCAGUCAGGGUGAUGUGUUAGCUAUGGGUUAGCAUUUUGUUUACCUGAAAAAGAUAAUGUAAUUUUUCUGCUGUUGUUGAAUGAAAAUAAAUUGUUUUAUUUGCAAAAUAUGAUGUACAUGCAGUUGUAUCAGUUAUGUAAUGAAAUGUUUAAUGUGUAACAAAUUUUCUGUAGUGUUUCAUUUCAUUUGUUGUUAUUGUUCAUUGUUGUUUGUGUUACUUUGUUAAAGAAAAUAGUACCUUAGAAUAGGGCUUCAUAUUUUACCCUUUUCUAUUUCUUUUAAAGCAGGUUAAAAAAAGAGAGAAAUAUUUUAUAUUAACAUAAAUUUUAACUAAUAAAUCUGAAAAAAUUGUGCAGCAGUAUACACUUAAUACUGAAUGCUUGAUGGUCAAUAGUGAAAACUAUUGCCCAAGGUCCAAAGAACCAGCAGCUUUGACCAUUCACAGACGAGCAAUUCAAUGUGUUUUAUUACAUGACGUAAAAAUAUUUUUGAAAGUUUUCCUUUUUAACUUAAUAGCCCAGUAAGCAUAUAUAUAUUUAAUACAGACAAGUAAUAUACUGUGAAAUCAUUUUUAUUUGCACAGGACGAAUUUUCGCGUAUUUCGCGCUAGGACUGAUGCGCGAAUUAAAGACCACACUAUUAUUUAUUUUUAAUUUUAUUUUUUCAUUUCUAAAAUUGAAACGCGCGAAUUAAAGCCUGCGCGAAACAGUCCUUUUUCACAUUUGCGCUAAAUUUCAUGCCAGCGAAUUUAAAUGAUUUCACAUUAGCAUAAACUUUGGACCAGUGAUUUAUAUAAGGAGUCAUAUGUAAUAAUAACUUGUACUUCUAACUGUGAAUAUUGAAAUAUAUAAUGAAAAUUACACCUUUUGUAAACUUGGAUUUGUUUUUUCCCUUGGGGAAAAAUAUACAGCUUACACAAAGAUUAACCUUUAGCCUGCUGGCAGCAAGUGAUUCUGCCUUUGCGACCAGUGCAGACCAAGAUCAGCCUGCACAUCGAUGCAGUCUGAUCGUGGUCUGCACUGUUCGCUAUUCAGUCAGUGAAUUUUCAGUGAAAACCCCUUUUAACAGUUAAUGGUUCUGUCCAAAUUGAAAGACGGACAAGUUCAUUAUAGAAAUUUAGCAGGAUAAGGGUUAAACAUCUUGUUAUUAGGUUGUUUUCAGAUUUCAUGAAACUUUGGUUGCAUGAAAUUAUCUGAUAUUGUGGAAUCAUUUAAUUUCGUGGUAAUGAAUUUUUUUAUUUAACCAAGAAGAUAAUUAAUGAAGUGAGUCUGAAUUGCAGGUUUCAAGUUGAAAGAAAACUGUGUGUUUCUGGGAUUUAAUUUGUUAGGUUGUUGCAACCAUGAAAUGCACCAAAUUAUUUUCCCAUGUAAAUGAAUGAUUUCACAAUAUUAGUUUCUUGUUAAUUGAAGUUAACUCUUUGUUGCAUAUUUAAGAUGAUACCAGUUUCUGAUGUUAUUUAUUAUAUGAAAUGGUUUAUGAAAUUCUAUUUAUAAAUUAAAUGUAAAAACCAAAA